AGUUCGGCUGGAUCGGUGACAGGUGCUGCAUGGCUGUCGUCAGCUCGUGUCGUGAGAUGUGGGUUAAGUCCCGCAACGAGCGCAACCCUUGUCCUUAGUUGCCAGCAUUAAGUUGGGCGCUCUAAGGAGACUGCCGGUGUUAAACCGGAGGAAGGUGGGGAUGACGUCAAGUCCUCAUGGCCCUUAUGUCCAGGGCUACACACGUGCUACAAUGGCCGGUACAAAGGGCUGCAAUACCGCAAGGUGGAGCGAACCCCAAAAAGCCGGUCUCAGUUCGGAUUGGAGUCUGCAACUCGACUCCAUGAAGUUGGAAUCGCUAGUAAUCGCGGAUCAGCAUGCCGCGGUGAAUGCGUUCCCGGGCCUU
rnacentral:rRNA from 1 species